GACGGAGGGGACUAGCGUUGUUCGGAAUGACUGGGCGUAAAGGGUGCGUAGGCUGCCCCUUAAGUAAGGCGUGAAAGCCCUGAGCUUAACUUAGGAAUUGCGCUUUAAACUGAGGGGCUUGAGGACAAAAGAGGAAAGCGGAAUUCCUAGUGUAGGGGUGAAAUCCGUAGAUAUUAGGAAGAACACCAGAGGCGAAGGCGGCUUUCUGGUUUGUCGCUGACGCUGAGGCACGAUAGCGUGGGGAGCGAAAA
rnacentral:rRNA from 1 species